UGAGGAAUAUUGCGCAAUGGAGGAAACUCUGACGCAGCAACGCCGCGUGAGUGAAGAAGGCCCUCGGGUUGUAAAGCUCUGUCAGGUGGGAAGAACCCUCUGUAGUUGAAUAGGCUACAGAACUGACGGUACCACCAAAGGAAGCACCGGCUAACUCCGUGCCAGCAGCCGCGGUAAGACGGAGGGUGCAAGCGUUGUUCGGAAUCACUGGGCGUAAAGCGCGUGUAGGCGGCUUGACAAGUCGAAUGUGAAAGCCCGGGGCUCAACCUCGGAAGUGCAUUCGAAACUGUCAGGCUUGAGUACGGGAGAGGGAAGUGGAAUUCCUGGUGUAGAGGUGAAAUUCGUAGAUAUCAGGAGGAACACCGGUGGCGAAGUCGGCUUCCUGGACCGAUACUGACGCUGAGACGCGAAAGCGUGUGGAGCAAACA
rnacentral:rRNA from 1 species